CCUACGGGUGGCAGCAGUAGGGAAUCUUCCACAAUGGGCGCAAGCCUGAUGGAGCAACACCGCGUGCGUGAUGAAGGGCUUCGGCUCGUAAAGCUCUGUUGUUGGAGAAGAACGUGCGUGAGAGUAACUGUUCACGCAGUGACGGUAUCCUACCAGUAAGUCACGGCUAACUACGUGCCAGCAGCCGCGGUAAUACGUAGGUGGCAAGCGUUAUCCGGAUUUAUUGGGCGGAAAGCGAGCGCAGGCGGUUGCUUAGGUCUGAUGUGAAAGCCUUGGGCUUAACCGAAGAACUGCAUCGGAGACUGGGCGACUAGAGUGCAGAAGAGGGAAGUGGAACUCCAUGUGUAGCGGUGGAAUGCGUAGAUAUAUGGAAGAACACCAGUGGCGAAGGCAGCUGUCUGGGCUGCAACUGACGCUGAGGCUCGAAAGCAUGGGUAGCGAACAGGAUUAGAUACCCGAGUAGUC
rnacentral:rRNA from 1 species